rnacentral:rRNA from 1 species
AUACGUAUGGUGCAAACGUUGUUCGGAAUCACUGGGCUUAAAGAGCACGUAGGCGGUUGAGAAAGUCAGAUGUGAAAUCCCUCGGCCCAACCGGGGAACUGCAUCUGAAACUUCUUAGCUAGAGUAUAGGAGGGGAGAGUGGAAUUCCUGGUGGAGCGGUGAAAUGCGUAGAUAUCAGGAGGAACGCCGGUGGCGAAAGCGACUCUCUGGCCUAUUACUGACGCUGAGGUGCGAAAGCUAGGGGAGCGAACAGGAUUAGAAACCCCAGUAGUCC